rnacentral:lncRNA from 1 species
GUUUUUUCAUGGCAGUCAGAUCUGGGAGCCAAGGUAAUCAUCGCUAGCUUUUCAGCACAGCGCCGCCGAGAUCCCUGCUCAUUCCCUCUUCGUUUUCUCAUGGCAGUCAGAUCUGGGAGCCAAGGUAAUCAUCGCUAGCUUUUCAGCACAGCGCCGCCCAGAUCCCUGCUCAUUCCCUCUUCGUUUUUUCAUGGCAGUUAGAUCUGGGAGCCAAGGUAAUCAUCGCUAGCUUUUCAGCAUAGCGCCGCCCAGAUCCAUGCUCAUUCCCUCUUCGUUUUCUUGAACAGAAUAGAGAAAGUACCAUCUAUUUCCUCUAAAAAAUGAAUUUCCUCUUUUGUACCUAUUUAUUUUUCCUCAUGUUGUGGGUUUCUAUUCUGUCAUCCAAAAUUUAUGGAAUCGUGAUCAUUGGCAUAUGAUAAGGUGAGAGAUCGUGUUAUUUCUUUUUUUUUCUUCUAAAGAUGUGUUCCGUUCAGAAAUUUUGCCAUGACAUUGGCAUGUUGUGGGCUGUAAAUAAAAUUGAAAGAAACAAACUAAUCGUGCUUGCUUAGUUACUUAGUUCAUACAAUAGCGAUGACCUACACAAAAAAAACUGAACUAACGGUUCUGAUUUGUUAUCCCUUCACUGUUAUUUCAGAGGAUGUGUACAGGAAACGAUACCAAUGACAAUUUCCCCGAGGGUGAAUAGAACAAAGAAUCCAGUAUGAUACUCAUUUGGAUGCUAUAUACUUGAUAUACUGAAUAAUUGUUUUACACAUCACCCAUCGUAGUAUGAUUCAGUAUGAUGUGCACACUUGCAGUUUACCAAGAUGACCCACAAAGGAGAUUGUGAACUGAAGACAUAGACCAAUUUUACAAUAGAUUUUGAUCAACAGUAUUCAGUUUGCUUUAGCAUCCAUUUUGUGUAUCCUU